ACGAGUGGCGGACGGGUGAGUAAUGCUUGGGAACUUGCCUUUGCGAGGGGGAUAACAGUUGGAAACGACUGCUAAUACCGCAUAAUGUCUACGGACCAAACGGGGCUUAGGCUCCGGCGCAAAGAGAGGCCCAAGUGAGAUUAGCUAGAUGGUGAGGUAAAGGCUCACCAUGGCAACGAUCUCUAGCUGUUCUGAGAGGAAGAUCAGCCACACUGGGACUGAGACACGGCCCAGACUCCUACGGGAGGCAGCAGUGGGGAAUAUUGCACAAUGGGGGAAACCCUGAUGCAGCCAUGCCGCGUGUGUGAAGAAGGCCUUCGGGUUGUAAAGCACUUUCAGUUGUGAGGAAAGGGUGUUGGUUAAUACCCAAUAUCUGUGACGUUAACAACAGAAGAAGCACCGGCUAACUCCGUGCCAGCAGCCGCGGUAAUACGGAGGGUGCGAGCGUUAAUCGGAAUUACUGGGCGUAAAGCGCACGCAGGCGGUUUGUUAAGCUAGAUGUGAAAGCCCCGGGCUCAACCUGGGACGGUCAUUUAGAACUGGCAGACUAGAGUCUUGGAGAGGGGAGUGGAAUUCCAGGUGUAGCGGUGAAAUGCGUAGAUAUCUGGAGGAACAUCAGUGGCGAAGGCGACUCCCUGGCCAAAGACUGACGCUCAUGUGCGAAAGUGUGGGUAGCGAACAGGAUUAGAUACCCUGGUAGUCCACACCGUAAACGCUGUCUACUAGCUGUGUGUGAAUUUAAUUCGUGCGUAGCGAAGCUAACGCGCUAAGUAGACCGCCUGGGGAGUACGGCCGCAGGUUAAAACUCAAUGAAUUGACGGGGGCCCGCACAAGC
rnacentral:rRNA from 1 species